UCAAAUAUGAGUCUACAUAGAAUUCGUGGCUUCUGACUGUGCUUGGAGCAUCUCUGCUUUGAGAGUUUUAUUGAAGUGGUCAAAUAUCUGUUGACAUUAUGCUUUUGGUUUUGAGUAUGUAUAUUUAGGUUAUAUACACUAGGGAAACUGACCAGAGUCGUGGGUUUGGAUUCUUGGUAACUUUGUGUUUUUCCAAGUGUCUAUUUGGUGUUCUCUGCUCAAGUAGCUUACCAAAUCUAUGAUUCUCUUCACUACCAUGCUUUUGAACAGCACUAGAAACUGGAGUUUGUGUAUAACGAUUCACUCGUUUGUUGUGUAAACUCUUUUUCGGUGUUGGUGUUAGGUUCUCUGGUUAUAUAGGAACAUUUCAAAGUCACCUUAUUGGAGAUUAAGGUGAUCAGCAAUUGCUCAAGCUCAUGACUCUUUGUUGAGAAAUGCAUUGAAGGGAGAGGUAUAUAAAGCUUUAUAGCUUCCAUUAUCUCAUCAAUGGUUUUGUUGUGUUUGUUAGCUCACAACAGGCUGAGAAGCUUGGAAGGAGAAGAGAAGUAGCAAACAUAGUGUUCGAUUUUUCUGUUAGGACAGCAACAACUUAUACACCUCAACAACAGUUUUGGGAUAUGGAUAGUGUUGACCUCUAAAGUUCAAAUGCAAAUGUUGUAAUGUGUUUUAUUGAUGGUUUGCUUGUACUAUAAGAUAUUGUUUUGCAACAAUUUGAAUUUUUUUUUCUUAAGAACCCAUUGCUUCUUAA